rnacentral:rRNA from 1 species
GACGAACGCUGGCGGCGUGCUUAACACAUGCAAGUCGAACGGAAAGGCCCUGCGUUUGUUGGGUGCUCGAGUGGCGAACGGGUGAGUGACACGUGAGUAACCUGCCCUUGACUUUGGGAUAACUUCAGGAAACUGGGGCUAAUAUCGGAGAGGAUCUCCUGCUGCAUAGGGGGGGUUGGAAAGUGCCGGCUGUGGGGGAUCGGUUCGCUGCUUACCGGCUGGUUUGGCGGGUAGGUGCUUACCAAGGCUUUGACGGGUAGGCGGCCUGAGAGAUUGAACGGCCACAUUGGGACUACGAUACGCCGCAGUAUCGUACGGGAGGCAGCAGUGGGGAGUAUUGCACAAUGGGCGGACGCGAGAUGCAGCAACGCCGCGUGCGGGAUGACCGCUUUCGGGUUGUAAACCGAUUUCGCAUGUGCCGAAGCCUGCGUGACGGUAAUGGGUAAGGAAGCAACGGCUAACUACGUG